rnacentral:rRNA from 1 species
UACGAAGGGGGCUAGCGUUGCUCGGAAUCACUGGGCGUAAAGCGCACGUAGGCGGAUUGCUAAGUCAGGGGUGAAAUCCUGGAGCUCAACUCCAGAACUGCCUUUGAUACUGGCGAUCUCGAGUCCGGGAGAGGUGAGUGGAACUGCGAGUGUAGAGAUGAAAUUCGUAGAUAUUCGCAAGAACACCAGUGGCGAAGGCGGCUCACUGGCCCGGUACUGACGCUGAGGUGCGAAAGCGUGGGGAGCAAACAGG